rnacentral:tRNA from 3 species
CGUAGCUCAGCUGGAUAGAGCGUUGGACUCCGACUCCAAAGGCCAGAGGUUCGAAUCCUCCCGG